GCCGUCCCAGUGCGCCCGCGACUCGCCCCGCCCGCAAGGAGCCAGGACCCGCCGCGCUCGCGGACGGUGAAGACGCCGAGACAAGUGGAAGAGUGUUUUCUCCUCUGGCCGCCAAGCAGGCACCCUCUGCGUCGAGAGGUAGGCUCACGCUCUGAGGUACUUGGGGUUGAGAUUCCAGCACGUGAAUUUCAGGGGCACGGUGUGACCCCUAACACCCUCCAAAGGCUUCUGAGCUGCAGAGCGGGGUGACGGUAACCUCCAGGGUUAUUUGAGGAUUGAAGUCUAUGUCCCCUGGAUGGUGCCCGUCCCAGGUCCUGGCGUGGAGACGGAGCGUGCACCAGUGCCAGUAGUUCCUGCCGUCACCCGCGUGAGGCCCUGGGAGCUCUGGGAGAUGAAGUUCGGCUGCCUGUCCUUCCGGCAGCCUCAUGCGGGUUUCGUCUUAAAUGGGGUGAAGACGCUGGAGACGCGGUGGCGGCCCGUGCUGAGCGGCCACCGGCACCGCACCCUGGCCGUCCACAUCGCACGCAGGGACUGGGAGGACGCGGCCUGGAGGGAGCUGCUGUCCGAGAGGCUGGGGAUGAGCCCCGCGCAGAUCCAGGCCUUGCUGCGGGACGGGGAGAAGUUCGGCCGCGGAGUGAUAGCCGGGCUGGUUGACAUUGGGGACACUUCUCUGUGCCCAGAAAACUUAGGUCCCAACGAGGCUGCGGAGCUGGAGAAUCAAGCCCUGCUGCCCAACCUGCGGCAGAAGUACCUGACCGCGCUUGCCAACCCCCGCUGGCUGCUGCAGCCUGUCCCCAGGAGAGGCGGGAAGGACGUCUUCCAGGUGGACAUCCCCGAGCACCUGAUCCCCUUUGGGCAGGAGGCCUGACCAGACUGGGCUCUCGAGAGGAAGGUGACCGAGAGAGCAGCUCAUCGUGCCACCGUCCACUCGCCUUCAUGCCCUGGACGUGCACGUCUGGUUCGGUCUGAAUCGGCCCUGCCCUGGGGAGCGCUGCCCGCUCCGUGCCACUCACGGAAGCAGACGUGCCCACCUGGUACAGGGACAGGGCUUGGGACUCUCCUCGUGGGAUGCCGCUCUGGGCUCAGCGAGAGUCUCGAGGACUUUGACCUUUAGGAAAAGAUGGCAGUGCCACUCGUUUUGGCCCUACUGAUUCUGGGUGGUUGAGAGAAAUGUGUUUUGAGAGGACCGGUUAGCAUUUUCCCCUCUUUGUCCUGGUCAGAACUCCCAGAUGUUUGGACCGCGUCUGGGGAACGAACAAUGCGGGAAGGCCGGUGGCGGGCCUCGUGCACGCGGGAGAGGACCGCAGGCCCAGAAACAGGGCGCGGUCUGUCCUUGCAGGUGACCCUGGCCCUGUUGUAAAGUGUCCCUUGGCUCACGAAGGGUGUGUGUUAGACGUGCUGCCCGGCCACUUCACGUCCGAAGACAGGCUCCUAGACACAGCUCUGAUGGCCAAGUGAGAAGGGCUGGUGCUCACUUUGUGGAAAUCUCUUACUUCUCUGUGGGGUUUGGGGUCAUUUGUUAGCAAGCUUUCUAGGGGUUGUUACCUCUGAGGGUGCUGGGCUUUCCCCCAGGUGUCGGCUGGAACGGCCCGUCUCUUCUGAGGCAGACGGCAGUGUGCACGCCUCCCUUGGUGGGUGGGGUGGCCCUCCUUUCCGGCGGGCCUCUUUGGGAGGCCCCUGGAUGGUGGGCUGGACACACGCUCAGCUGCGGGUCAGAAACUUCUGGCAUCAUAGGGGGACCCAGGAGGAAGCCCCUUCUGCUUCAGGAUGCAUGACUAAUGGAAGGUGGCACCCCUGAGGUCAGGAGCCAGGCUGUGCUGCCUCCUGACUGGCAGGCAAGGCCCAGGGGCCAGCCUGUCCUGGGCCGGCCUCAGCGCUCCCUAGCCACGUCCGUGGCUGAGCGUGGGAAAUGCUCCUGCUUCAAAUGAAAGGGGACGGCGGGGACCAAAGCCUGCCGGGGGGGUGGGUUUCCAGCCUCGUCGGGCCCGUCCACUGAGAUGUGUGAAUAGGACAGACAGUUAGAAAGGACACAAGACUCGCAAUUCUCGUUCGAUUCUGUAUUUACUCCUGUGGACUUUGGCUUUUCUUUAUUAGAGACAAAAACAGAUUCUUGGUUAUGAGAUGGGGCUUUUCGUGUGUUCCCAGGGGCCUGCGAGCUCAGGGAUCGCAGUUGUCCUUGAACUGUUCUCGGAGAGCACACCUGCAAUCUGAGGAGCCCUCCUGCUCCUCAUCCACCUCAGGGACCUCGUUCGGGGACAAGGCAGAAAGGGCCGCCGGCAGGAGGGAGGAACAGCCGUUGUCCACAGGCAUCUCCGAGCCAUAAGCCGGGUUCAGUUUGCGGAUGAAAGUCUUCAAGCUGUCCCUGUUGACAAUCCUGUCUGCGCCUCUGCGGCGAAGAACCUCCCUGCGGAAGAGGUCUUGCUCGAUGAUCACCGUGUCUCCCUCGUCAUUCCAGCGCAC